AUGAACGCUGGCGGCGUGCCUCACACAUGCAAGUCGAGCGAACAGACGAGGAGCUUGCUCCUCUGACGUUAGCGGCGGACGGGUGAGUAACACGUGGAUAACCUACCUAUAAGACUGGAAUAACUUCGGGAAACCGGAGCUAAUACCGGAUAAUAUAUUGAACCGCAUGGUUCAAUAGUGAAAGACGGUUUUGCUGUCACUUAUAGAUGGAUCCGCGCCGCAUUAGCUAGUUGGUAAGGUAACGGCUUACCAAGGCAACGAUGCGUAGCCGACCUGAGAGGGUGAUCGGCCACACUGGAACUGAGACACGGUCCAGACUCCUACGGGAGGCAGCAGUAGGGAAUCUUCCGCAAUGGGCGAAAGCUUGACGGAGCAACGCCGCGUGAGUGAUGAAGGUCUUCGGAUCGUAAAACUCUGUUAUUAGGGAAGAACAAAUGUGUAAGUAACUAUGCACGUCUUGACGGUACCUAAUCAGAAAGCCACGGCUAACUACGUG
rnacentral:rRNA from 1 species